GCCGGGUGUGGUAGUGCAUGCCUGUAAUCCCAGCUACUUGGGAGGCUGAGGCAGGGGAAUUGCUUGAACCCAGGAGGCGGAGGUUGCGGUGAGCCGAGAUCACGCCAUUGCACUCCAGCCUGGGCAACAAGCGAAACUCCAUCUCAAAAAAAAAAAAAAAAAAAAUUAAAAGAGUCACUCAGUUUUUUUUUUUUUUUUUUUUUUUAGAUGCAGUCUCCCUCUGGUGCCCAGGCUGGAGUGGCAGUGGCAUGAUCUCAGCUCACUACAAGCUCCGCCUCCCAGGUUCAAGCGAUUCUCCUGUCUCAG
rnacentral:sRNA from 1 species